rnacentral:rRNA from 1 species
UACGUAGGGUGCAAGCGUUGUCCGGAUUUAUUGGGCGUAAAGAGCUCGUAGGCGGUUUGUCGCGUCGGAUGUGAAAACCCAGGGCUCAAUCCUGGGCCUGCAUUCGAUACGGGCAGACUAGAGUAUGGCAGGGGAGACUGGAAUUCCUGGUGUAGCGGUGAAAUGCGCAGAUAUCAGGGAGGAACACCGGUGGCGAAGGCGGGUCUCUGGGCCAAAACUGACGCUGGAGGAGCGAAAGCGUGGGGAGCGAACAGG